UCAGUACGCAGGAAGGUAUUCCGCUGCUUAUUACGCUGCGUGAUGCGCAGAAUAACCCGCUGCCGUUCGGCGCGGAUGUGAUGGAC
rnacentral:tRNA from 1 species